rnacentral:rRNA from 1 species
UAGAUAUUAGAAAGAAUACCAAUUGCGAAGGCAGCUUUCUGGAUCAUUACUGACACUGAGGAACGAAAGCAUGGGUAGCGAAGAGGAUUAGAUACCCUCGUAGUCCAUGCCGUAAACGAUGUGUGUUAGACGUUGGAAAUUUAUUUUCAGUGUCGCAGCGAAAGCGAUAAACACACCGCCUGGGGAGUACGACCGCAAGGUUAAAACUCAAAUGAAUUGACGGGGACCCGCACAAGUAGUGGAGCAUGUGGUUUAAUUCGAAGAUACGCGCAGAACCUUACCAACACUUGACAUGUUCGUCGCGACUUUAAGAGAUUAAAGUUUUCGGUUCGGCCGGACGAAACACAGGUGCUGCAUGGCUGUCGUCAGCUCGUGUCGUGAGAUGUUGGGUUAAGUCCCGCAACGAGCGCAACCCUCACUUUUAGUUGCCAUCAUUAAGUUGGGCACUCUGAAAGAACUGCCAGUGAUAAGCUGGAGGAAGGUGGGGAUGACGUCAAGUCCUCAUGGCCCUUACGUGUUGGGCUACACACGUGCUACAAUGGCAUUUACAAUAGGAAGCAAGAUGGCGACGUCAAGCAAAUCCUAAAAAGAUGCCUCAGUUCGGAUUGUACUCUGCAACUCGAGUACAUGAAGCUGGAAUUACUAGUAAUCGCGGAUCAGCGCGCCGCGGUGAAUACGUUCCCGGGUCUUGUACACACCGCCCGUCACACCAUGGGAGUUGGUUCUACCUUAAGGCAAGGUUUCAAACCCUUGACCACGGUAUAGUCAGCGACUGGGGUGAAGUCAUAACAAGGUAGCCGUA